AGAGUUUGAUCAUGGCUCAGGAUGAACGCUGGCGGCGUGCCUAAUACAUGCAAGUCGAACGGGUGUAGCAAUACACUAGUGGCGAACGGGUGAGUAACACGUUGGUGACCUGCCCUAAAGAGGGGAAUACCACUUCGAAAGGAGUGACAAAACCGCAUAAGCUAGUGCUAGUUAGAGAGGCAUUAGUAAAAGAGCAAUCUACUUUAGGAGGGGCCUGCGGCCCAUCAGCUAGUUGGUGAGGUAAAAGCCCACCAAGGCGAAGACGGGUAGGGGACCUGAGAGGGUGAUCCCCCACAAUGGAACUGAAACACGGUCCAUACACCUGCGGGUGGCAGCAGUAGGGAAUAUUGCUUAAUGGGCGAAAGCCUGAAGCAGCAACGCCGCGUGAACGAAGAAGGCCUUCGGGUCGUAAAGUUCUUUUACGUGGGAUGAGGAAGGACAGUACCACGAGAAUAAGUCUCGGCUAACUACGUGCCAGCAGCCGCGGUAAAACGUAGGAGACGAGCGUUAUCCGGAUUUACUGGGCGUAAAGCGCGUGUAGGAGGCGCUACAAGUUGGAUGUGAAAGCUCCCGGCUUAACUGGGAGAGGUCGUUCAAGACUGUAGGGCUAGAGUGAGGCAGAGGUAGAUGGAACUCCGGGAGUAGUGGUGAAAUGCGUAGAUAUCCGGAAGAACACCAGAGGCGAAAGCGAUCUACUGGGCCUAAACUGACACUGAGACGCGAAAGCCAGGGUAGCAAACGGGAUUAGAGACCCCGGUAGUCCUGGCCGUAAACGAUGUAGACUGAGCGUUGGUUGGGUAAAACCAAUCAGUGCUGAAGCAAACGCGAUAAGUCUACCGCCUGGGGAGUACGGUCGCAAGAUUAAAACUCAAAUGAAUUGACGG
rnacentral:rRNA from 1 species